AGCGAACGCUGGCGGCAGGCCUAACACAUGCAAGUCGAGCGGACGUAGCAAUACGUCAGCGGCAGACGGGAGAGUAACACGUGGGAACGCGCCCUUCGGUUCGGGAUAACUCAGGGAGACUUGGGCUAAUACCGGAUACGCCCUUACGGGGAAAGAUUUAUUGCCGAAGGAACGGCCCGCGUCCGAUUAGCUUGUUGGUGAGGUAACGGCUCACCAAGGCGACGAUCGGUAGCUGGUCUGAGAGGAUGACCAGCCUCACUGGGACUGAGACACGGCCCAGACUCCUACGGGAGGCAGCAGUGGGGAAUAUUGGACAAUGGGCGCAAGCCUGAUCCAGCCAUGCCGCGUGGGUGAUGAAGGCCCUAGGGUUGUAAAGCCCUUUCGGCGGGGAAGAUAAUGACGGUACCCGGAGAAGAAGCCCCGGCUAACUUCGUGCCAGCCGCCGCCGUAACAC
rnacentral:rRNA from 1 species